rnacentral:rRNA from 1 species
CCUACGGGAGGCAGCAGUGGGGAAUUUUGGACAAUGGGGGAAACCCUGAUCCAGCCAUUCCGCGUGAGUGAAGAAGGCCUUCGGGUUGUAAAGCUCUUUCGGCAGGAACGAAACGGCGGACUCUAACAUAGUCUGUCAAUGACGGUACCUGAAGAAGAAGCACCGGCUAACUACGUGCCAGCAGCCGCGGUAAUACGUAGGGUGCGAGCGUUAAUCGGAAUUACUGGGCGUAAAGCGUGCGCAGGCGGCUUUGUAAGACGGAUGUAAAAUCCCUGGGCUUAACCGAGGAACUGCGGUCGGGACUGCAAAGCUGGAGGGCGGCAGAGGGGGGUGAAAUUCCUGGUGUAGCAGUGAAAUGCGUAGAGAUCAGGAGGAACACCGAUGGCGAGGGCAGCCCCCGGGGUGGACGCGGACGCUCAGGCACGAAAGCGUGGGGAGCAAACAGGAUUAGAUCCCCGGGUAGU